rnacentral:rRNA from 1 species
UACGGAGGGGGCUAGCGUUGUUCGGAAUUACUGGGCGUAAAGCGCACGUAGGCGGCUUUGUAAGUUAGAGGUGAAAGCCCGGGGCUCAACUCCGGAAUUGCCUUUAAGACUGCAUCGCUAGAAUUGUGGAGAGGUAAGUGGAAUUCCGAGUGUAGAGGUGAAAUUCGUAGAUAUUCGGAAGAACACCAGUGGCGAAGGCGACUCACUGGACAUGUAUUGACGCUGAGGUGCGAAAGCGUGGGGAGCAAACAGG